UGCUGCUGGCUAGUAGGCCUACUGGGUUGGAGGGUCUGCCUGCUGGGACGCUGCUGGGCUGUGGGCUGCUGUUUGCUGGUAGGCCUACGGAUAUGCCUACUGAUGUGGGCUACCUGUUGAUAUGCCUUUUGCUGAUCUGCUGCCCCUUGCGCAGCAACCAUCUUGGAGCUCUUGAGCUUUUGAGAGAGAGAAUUUUUGAGAAGAAGAAGAAAAAGUGUGGAAGUGGAGAGGAAAGAAUAAAAUGCUGAGUUUAAAUAGCAACAAUACUGCCCUGUUUAUUUUCCUCUUGUCGCUUUUCUCUACCUCGGUUGUUUGCC
rnacentral:lncRNA from 1 species